UGGGGAAUUUUGGACAAUGGGCGAAAGCCUGAUCCAGCCAUACCGCGUGAGUGAAGAAGGCCUUCGGGUUGUAAAGCUCUUUCAGCCGGAAAGAAAUCUUGCCCAUUAAUACUGGGUAAGGAUGACGGUACCGGAAGAAGAAGCACCGGCUAACUACGUGCCAGCAGCCGCGGUAAUACGUAGGGUGCGAGCGUUAAUCGGAAUUACUGGGCGUAAAGCGUGCGCAGGCGGUUUUGUAAGACAGACGUGAAAUCCCCGGGCUUAACCUGGGAACUGCGUUUGUGACUGCAAGACUAGAGUGUAGCAGAGGGGGGUAGAAUUCCACGUGUAGCAGUGAAAUGCGUAGAGAUGUGGAGGAAUACCGAUGGCGAAGGCAGCCCCCUGGGCUAACACUGACGCUCAUGCACGAAAGCGUGGGGAGCAAACAGG
rnacentral:rRNA from 1 species